AGGACGAACGCUGGCGGCGUGCUUAACACAUGCAAGUCGAGCGGUAAGGCCUUUCGGGGGUACACGAGCGGCGAACGGGUGAGUAACACGUGGGUGAUCUGCCCUGCACUUCGGGAUAAGCCUGGGAAACUGGGUCUAAUACCGGAUAUGACCUCAGGUUGCAUGACUUGGGGUGGAAAGAUUUAUCGGUGCAGGAUGGGCCCGCGGCCUAUCAGCUUGUUGGUGGGUAAUGGCCUACCAAGGCGACGACGGGUAGCCGACCUGAGAGGUGACCGGCCACACUGGGACUGAGACACGGCCCAGACUCCUACGGGAGGCAGCAGUGGGAAUAUGCACAUGGGACGAAGCCUGAUGCAGCGACGCCGCGUGGAGGAUCGGACGGCCGUUCGGGUUACGUAAACCUUCGUUUCAGGCUAGGGACGAACGCGAC
rnacentral:rRNA from 1 species